CGUAGGUGCAAGCGUUAAUCGGAAUUACUGGGCGUAAAGCGUGCGCAGGCGGUUUGUAAGACAGUGGUGAAAUCCCCGGGCGUCAACCUGGGAACUGCCAUUGUGACUGCAAGGCUAGAGUGCGGCAGAGGGGGAGUGGAAUUCCGCGUGUAGCAGUGAAAUGCGUAGAUAUGCGGAGGAACACCGAUGGCGAAGGCAAUCCCCUGGGCCUGCACUGACGCUCAUGCACGAAAGCGUGGGAGCAAACAGGAUU
rnacentral:rRNA from 1 species